rnacentral:rRNA from 1 species
AAAUUGAAGAGUUUGAUCAUGGCUCAGAUUGAACGCUGGCGGCAGGCCUAACACAUGCAAGUCGAACGGUAACAGGAAGAAGCUUGCUUCUUUGCUGACGAGUGGCGGACGGGUGAGUAAUGUCUGGGAAACUGCCUGAUGGAGGGGGAUAACUACUGGAAACGGUAGCUAAUACCGCAUAAUGUCGCAAGACCAAAGAGGGGGACCUUCGGGCCUCUUGCCAUCGGAUGUGCCCAGAUGGGAUUAGCUAGUAGGUGGGGUAACGGCUCACCUAGGCGACGAUCCCUAGCUGGUCUGAGAGGAUGACCAGCCACACUGGAACUGAGACACGGUCCAGACUCCUACGGGAGGCAGCAGUGGGGAAUAUUGCACAAUGGGCGCAAGCCUGAUGCAGCCAUGCCGCGUGUAUGAAGAAGGCCUUCGGGUUGUAAAGUACUUUCAGCGGGGAGGAAGGGAGUAAAGUUAAUACCUUUGCUCAUUGACGUUACCCGCAGAAGAAGCACCGGCUAACUCCGUGCCAGCAGCCGCGGUAAUACGGAGGGUGCAAGCGUUAAUCGGAAUUACUGGGCGUAAAGCGCACGCAGGCGGUUUGUUAAGUCAGAUGUGAAAUCCCCGGGCUCAACCUGGGAACUGCAUCUGAUACUGGCAAGCUUGAGUCUCGUAGAGGGGGGUAGAAUUCCAGGUGUAGCGGUGAAAUGCGUAGAGAUCUGGAGGAAUACCGGUGGCGAAGGCGGCCCCCUGGACGAAGACUGACGCUCAGGUGCGAAAGCGUGGGGAGCAAACAGGAUUAGAUACCCUGGUAGUCCACGCCGUAAACGAUGUCGACUUGGAGGUUGUGCCCUUGAGGCGUGGCUUCCGGAGCUAACGCGUUAAGUCGACCGCCUGGGGAGUACGGCCGCAAGGUUAAAACUCAAAUGAAUUGACGGGGGCCCGCACAAGCGGUGGAGCAUGUGGUUUAAUUCGAUGCAACGCGAAGAACCUUACCUGGUCUUGACAUCCACGGAAGUUUUCAGAGAUGGAAUGGUGCCUUCGGGAACCGUGAGACAGGUGCUGCAUGGCUGUCGUCAGCUCGUGUUGUGAAAUGUUGGGUUAAGUCCCGCAACGAGCGCAACCCUUAUCCUUUGUUGCCAGCGGUCCGGCCGGGAACUCAAAGGAGACUGCCAGUGAUAAACUGGAGGAAGGUGGGGAUGACGUCAAGUCAUCAUGGCCCUUACGACCAGGGCUACACACGUGCUACAAUGGCGCAUACAAAGAGAAGCGAACUCGCGAGAGCAAGCGGACCUCAUAAAGUGCGUCGUAGUCCGGAUUGGAGUCUGCAACUCGACUCCAUGAAGUCGGAAUCGCUAGUAAUCGUGGAUCAGAAUGCCACGGUGAAUACGUUCCCGGGCCUUGUACACACCGCCCGUCACACCAUGGGAGUGGGUUGCAAAAGAAGUAGGUAGCUUAACCUUCGGGAGGGCGCUUACCACUUUGUGAUUCAUGACUGGGGUGAAGUCGUAACAAGGUAACCGUAGGGGAACCUGCGGUUGGAUCACCUCCUUACCUUAAAGAAGC